rnacentral:lncRNA from 1 species
ACUACAGGACACAGCCAGUCAGAUGGGUAGUUACCAGGUUGCUGAUGGUUACUACAGGACACAGCCAGUCAGAUGGGUAGUUACCAGGUUGGUGAUGGUUACUACAGGACACAGCCAGUCAGAUGGGUAGUUACCAGGUUGGUGAUGGUUGCUACAGGACACAGCCAGUCAGAUGGGUAGUUACCAGGUUGGUGAUGGUUGCUACAGGACACAGCCAGUCAGAUGGGUAGUUACCAGGUUGCUGAUGGUUACUACAGGACACAGCCAGUCAGAUGGGUAGUUACCAGGUUGCUGAUGGUUACUACAGGACACAGCCAGUCAGAUGGGUAGUUACCAGGUUGGUGAUGGUUACUACAGGACACAGCCAGUCAGAUGGGUAGUUACCAGGUUGGUGAUGGAUCCGAAAGAAAGCUGCAGUAAGUCUACCUGUCACAAAUUUAAAGCUGCAAUAUGUACAGUGGGGGAAAAAGUAUUUGAUCCCCUGCUGAUUUUGUACGUUUGCCCACUGAUAAAGAAAGGAUCAGUCUAUAAUUUUAAUGGUAGGUUUAUUUGAACAGUGAGAGACAGAAUAACAACAAAUAUAUCCAGAAAAACGCAUGUCAAAAAUGUUAUAAGUUGAUUUGCAUUUUAAUGAUGGAAAUAAGUAUUUGACCCCCUCUCAAUCAGAAAGAUUUCUGGCUCCCAGGUGUCUUUUAUACAGGUAACGAGCUGAGAUUAGGAGCACACUCUUAAAGGGAGUGCUCCUAACCGCAGCUAUCUAUCUAUCUAUCUAUCUAUCUAUCUAUCUAUCUAUCUAUCUAUCUAUCUAUCUAUCUAUCUAUCUAU